UUGGGAUAGCUCAGUUGGUAGAGCAGAGGACUGAAAAUCCUCGUG
rnacentral:tRNA from 2 species